UAAAAAUUAGUUAAUAAUGUAUAAUAUAAGUUUGUCAGACUUAAGUAAUUGAAUAAAUAUUUUUAU
rnacentral:tRNA from 1 species